GGAGAGCUAAAGGAAACAAAACCCAGAUGAGUGAAGAUGCUGAUCCUGAAGAUGUUGUUCAAUACGCUUCCAUCAGUUACACCAAGAAACCUAACAGGAAACCUGAGGU